ACUUACACGUAUAUAUAUACAUAUAUCAAAAAUCACCUAAAGACACAUCAACCCUUGUGCAUUUUAAAGACUUUUAUGUUAUGCCAUUGUUUUUGUUUCAUAACGAAAGCUUAUUUUCCCCCAACUAAAAUGGUAGAUGUUCGCGGCAAAGAUUAUGACGUAUUUCCAACUGCGAGGAUUGACGCUUUGCCCAAAACAGUCAUUCAAAGCAAUUGCAAAAAACAUGGUUUAAACACUUCAGAUAAUAAACCUUCCAACACCACUGCCCUGGAUAAUAACCUCAUUAUUUUUUAUCAAAUUGAUAAUGAAUUUAGUGAAUUUGAAGCUUUAUCUAAUAACGAUUCAGACAAAAGUGAUAAGAAUAUUGUAAUAGAUGAACUAGAGGGUGAUUUAGCAUUUUGAUCUUCUAAGCAUAAUAUCAAACAAGAAUUCACUGAUUUAAUUUGCUGAUCUAUGACCAGAGCUGCUUAAAUGUUAAUGCAUCCUAAAAUUUUAUUUAAGUUUGUGUUUUUUAUGUAUUUAAAUAAAAUUAAUUAUAUAUAUGUAUUUUUUUAUGCUAUAUUUUAUAUGAUCUCAUCAUCAUUAUCAUCAUCCCCCACCUUUAUUUUCAUUUAUUCUAUAUAUUUAUUCAACCUUAAUUAUGUUUCUUUAUAAUUUCUUUAUUUUUAAUUUGUUGUUGGGUAAAACAAAUUCUUCACUAAGUUUUAAUUAUUAUUUUUAGAACAAAGUAUACACUUAUUAACUCUGUUAAUGUUUAGCUUUAAAAUAAUUUUUACUGAACAUCGUAAUAUCUUAAGAGUACAGAAGUAAUCAGAUGAAAAUUAAGAUAGUGACUCACAAAAUUUUAAUGAACAUCAAGAAUUAAAAAAGUCUUGUCUGCAGACACCUGUCUCUGUAUUAAACAAAAGUAUAACGAGAUUGUAAACAGUGAUUAUAAUUACCUCUGUGAUUAAGGUGAAGGGAGUAGCAGCAAAAAGAAAAGUAGCAAAAAAAAUCUUGUCUGCAGACACCUGUCUCUGUAUUGAGUAAAAGUAGAACAAGAUUGAAAAAAGUGAUCAUAAUUACCUCUGUGAUUAAGAAGCAAUACGAAGAAAUUUGCUGACAAAAGAUACCACAUACAGCAAAAUUUAAAAGGUAGUUGUGGCUUUUUUUUUUGGAGCUCUAGACAGAAAUAGAGGCAGAAAAGAAGGAGCAGAAAAAAAGUCCAUCCAAAAAAUUAGUUCAACAAAAAAUCGUGGCUAUACUGUCCAAUAAUUGACAUUGAAACCUUUAUCUGGAUUAUCAUUACCGCGAUUUGAACGCUUUAUUUUUGAUGAAUCUGACAAAAUAUAAUGUUCUCUUGCAUGAUCUGUUUUGUAUGUUAUGUUUUAUAUUAAUUGUAAAUUUGACAUUAUUAUAAGCUUUACAAGUAUUUAUAUUAUUAAUGAUAAAUUUAAUGCAUUUAUUUUUUAUAAAUUUUUAAUGCAAAUUUAUUAACUUGUAAA